rnacentral:rRNA from 1 species
GCACAAUCUAGCUCAACUAAAAACAAAAACAAAACAAACAAAAUUAUCUUACCAUAAACCAAUCAAAACAUUUCCACCAUCUUAGUAUGGGCGAUAGAAAAGA